AUGAUAAGGCCUUUUUACAUAUUUGUCCACAUGCUUAAAUGCCUGUUUUCUGGCUCCAUAAUCCAUUUACUGAAGGAAGUGAAGGUGACCAGCUUUGGAGCCGCCCCUCCCAGAAGGGCUUCAACUGUCAGGAGCAGAAGCUUGGACUCUGUGAGAGACUUGCUCUGUGGAGAGCUUCAAGAGGUGCCACGGGAGCUGCUGCCUGGAGCUGCCUUACCAGGAGGAAGGUAAGUCUUCCGGGCUGGGAGCAGCCCUGUUCCUCUGUCCUUUCAAGGCUGGAC
rnacentral:lncRNA from 1 species